rnacentral:lncRNA from 1 species
CACUUACUUGAGUACAGGUUGCCAGAACCAGGCCACCAACAAAGUCUUUUAAUGCAGAGUUCGGGGAAAGCUGAACAAGCAGAGCCACACGGGCUCACUUCCUUUCUUAUUGCAGUGGAAUGAAUUGUGACUUCUAAAAGGAAAGAUUGAGGUCUUAACCUUAGAACCCUGAAUCAGACUUUGGUUUCAAGUAGAAUCAUUGCAAGUGUGAUGGAACUCACACAUGAAGUCCCGUGGGAAUGCUUGGAGAUGCCAGCAGCCCUUAAAACCAAGAAGAGCCUGGAAGGACUCCUCUCCUGACUCCUGGACUUUACCUCUUCCCAUAAGGCAUGAAGCAGACUUUGUGAGUCAUGCUGGGUUCUACUCUACCCGUUAUAUCUACUUUGAGAUGACUGUACCCUCAACGGUUGAGAUUCCUCAUGUAAACAACCAUUGUCUGGGGAUUCUGCUUUGAUUUGCAGUUUUAAGUAAUUUAAAAAUGAAAAUUAAAAAAUGUGUUGCAGGACCUCUAGAACUCAUGUUUAACAGGCUGUGCCAUACACCCCUGCCUUGCACUGUCCUGACCUCAGCCUUCAGAGACUCCUCCAUGCCCUUUCUUGCCGUUCCUUCGUCCUCUCGGCCUUUGCUAUCUGUAGCACCUCAGUCACCCUCACAGCCAUGGUGGGAGGUAUCUGAUCUGUCUUAUAUCCAAGAGGUGCUAAACUGGGGCUUUCCACAGAUGUGUCCCAACAGCUUCCCAUCCCUAAUAGGGUGGCCUCAGGAACAACUCUCUACUUACCUUACUUUUAAUGCACGAUAAACUGCUCCUCAAAUCAUCUUGGAUAGGAUUUUUCAUUCAUAAAUAAAGUUUGCACCC